rnacentral:rRNA from 1 species
UGGGGAAUUUUGGACAAUGGGGGAAACCCUGAUCCAGCCAUCCCGCGUGUGCGAUGAAGGCCUUCGGGUUGUAAAGCAAUUUUGGUAGGAAAGAAACGUCAUGGGUUAAUACCCCGUGAAACUGACGGUACCUGCAGAAUAAGCACCGGCUAACUACGUGCCAGCAGCCGCGGUAAUACGUAGGGUGCAAGCGUUAAUCGGAAUUACUGGGCGUAAAGCGUGCGCAGGCGGUUCGGAAAGAAAGAUGUGAAAUCCCAGAGCUCAACUUUGGAACUGCAUUUUUAACUACCUGGCUAGAGUGUGGCAGAGGGAGGUUGAAUUCCGCGUGUAGCAGUGAAAGGCGUAGAUAUGCGGAGGAACACCGAUGGCGAAGUCAGCCUCCUGGGAUAACACUGACGCUCAUGCACGAAAGCGUGGGGAGCAAACAGG